rnacentral:lncRNA from 1 species
GUGAACGUGUUACUUGCUAUCCAUUAGAAAAGAAAAAUGCCAGCUUUGUUUAUAAAAUAAAAAUCAACGUCUCUAGCAAAGGAAGCAAUAAAAUGCUUGAAAUAAAAGAGCAUAAAACCCAAAUUGAAAAGGGAUAGCAUCUCAUUCAUGUAAAUAAAUUCAAGAACUCAUCCUCCUACAACGUUAACAGCAAAACUCGAAAAAAACACAAGUGGCGGCUGCUGGAUGUUCCAGCCCCCCUUUUCCUUCCAACUCAUGGUUUUUUUUAAACCCUCGUGUGCCAAGCUGGAUGUUGGAACAUGUGUUGCUGCCCAAGCUGCUGGAUGUCACCCUUUGCAUCUUCGCACCAAGUCCAAAAUGAAUGAGUGCUGCACCUUUUCAAUUGAAUUGAAUCAGCCUUCCAAUUCUUGUCCGAGACCUGCUUGCUGGACAUGUCUUCUCCCAACGCUGGACCUUGCUUUUGC